rnacentral:rRNA from 1 species
AUUGAACGCUGGCGGCAGGCUUAACACAUGCAAGUCGAGCGGGGAAGGGUAGCUUGCUACCUAACCUAGCGGCGGACGGGUGAGUGAUGCUUAGGAAUCUGCCAUUUAGUGGGGGACAACAUUCCGAAAGGAAUGCUAAUACAGCAUGCGUCCUACGGGAGAAAGCAGGGGAUCUUCGGACCUUGUGCUAAAUGAUGAGCCUAAGUCGGAUUAGCUAGUUGGUGGGGUAAAGGCCUACCAAGGCGACGAUCUGUAGCGGGUCUGAGAGGAUGCUCCGCCACACUGGGACCGGGACACGGCCCAGACUCCUACGGGAGGCAGCAGUGGGGAAUAUUGGACAAUGGGCGGAAGCCUGAUCCAGCCAUGCCGCGUGUGUGAAGAAGGCCUUAUGGUUGUAAAGCACUUUAAGCGAGGAGGAGGCUACUAGUAUUAAUACUACUGGAUAGUGGACGUUACUCGCAGAAUAGGCACCGGCUAACUCUGUGCCAGCAGCCGCAGUAAUAC